AGGAGCAGAUCCACAAAGCAUAACUAACCCACAAAAACUCAAUGCAUUUGAUUUGCAUUUGGAGUGUUUGUAGAAGCAUCAGAGACCCAAUUGGAAGUACAAAAGCACAGAAAAAGUGAGUUUUGCAUAAUACGUAUAAUAUCUGCAUAAU